CCCUCAGCGCUGCGAGCCUUGCUGACCGGCUUUUUUCCUGGGAAAGGAGACACACCGCGCUCAGCUCUCCCUGUACAUCCCUUCCUACAGCUCUGUGCACCUCGCUGCUAAUUGACUUUGUGUGACUUGUCAGAGCACUGCAGUCAGUCAGUGUAACCCUGUCAGAAGCCGCAGCGCUGGGGGACUGCGCUCUGCCAGACACAGCUAGAGACCCUUGGUGAUUCCCCACACCGUGCUCGUCCAGGGAAGGCUGGCGUGUGGGCGUUGGAUUGUGUCAUUCGUAGGAGGUGAGCGUCAAAGGAAGUGGGAUCAACUGCUGGAGAUUUGUAAUCCAGCCUUCCUGGCAUUUAACCCUGCGUUCGUUGGACGCUCGCUUUCCCAUCGAUCUCAAAAGGACCUCUAGGUCAGAAGGGAGGAGAGCUCAGCCUGCUGAUGGCAGAGUGUUUGUGGGAGGAUGCAUCUGCAGUUUCUGGAAACAUGGUACUUCGCUCUGCCUUCAGCCAAGUAUUUUGGUGGGAAAACCAAGGACUUUGGAUAAGCCAGGUGCAAGUUUGGAUGUCACCUCUUCCUAACUGUGACUGCCCAUAAGCCAGGAACAGCAAUAUACUGCCUCAGGUCCUUCGUGUUAAUGCUCUGGGCACGACUACAGUAAGUUGUCAAUGGUCAGUUCUUUUAUGGGUUCCUUCUUGGGAGGCUUCACUUCAUAAAAUGCUCCCAUUAAAUUUAGAAGAUGGUAGCCUGCCUCAGCCAAGGUGUCAAGGACAGAAGAACUCAAGAGAAUGGCUUCUGUAACCCUGUGUGUCACAGCCCAGCACUUUGUGUUUGAAGCAGUCGUCACUGGUUUUAACAAAGCAGGUGUUGAGCAAGAAAGGGCAACCUGAGCCAUGCUAAUAUCAAAAAGGCCCAGAACAGACAACCCUUCUUAAAACUUCUGGGGACAAUACAAAGGUAGCCUGUGGUUUUCGUCUGCCAUUUGAGCCAUUGAGUUUUUGGGUGUCUUGCUGCUUCCUAUUUUCUUUUCUGUGCAUGCUCAGACUGGUCCAGCUCAGGCUGUCUGUUCUUAACACACCCUUAACGAAGCAUUUGCAAACUCUGUAACACUUCUGCUCUUUCAGAGCCUUUUCGUUUUCAGUUGUUCAGUGCUUCUUUUCACAGCCUGCCUUUGCUUACCUGCACAUCUCAGUACUCCUUUACCUCUCUCCCCCAUAAAAAAAUUCCCAGGUUUGCCAUUCCCAUUAUUAGUAAAAUAUGCCAGUUUGGCAUUCAUCCCCUCCACUCCCAGUACUCCUGGCUUCUUAAAAUUUCUUCCUUUCCUGCUUUCAGACACAGUCCUCCUCCAUUAAAAAGUUUCUUAGCCUGCUCAGGGUGCUUUAAUAAUAGGUGGAUCUGAGAAAAAGAAGAGUUUGUCUCUUUCAGGUUUGAAGUAAAAUACUUGUCAUAUUUUAUGACAGCGAGCAUGUAUCUUGAUACAAAUGCAUCUCCAGACAGGCUGUUAAAUUACUUUUUUUUCUUCCCUCAUCAAGAAUUUUUUGACUACUGCAUUUUUUCCCUACCUAAAUGUAAACAUGGGAGAGACUAGGAAAAAAGGGCUAUCGAGUGGUUAGGUGGAAAUACGCGAGUAGCUUUGCAUGAUUAAUGGCUUUACCUUAAGUGUUGCACAUAGGCAACUUACCGGUAUCUUUCCCUAAAACAAGGUGAUUAAAGGGCUAUCCUGUGUAAAUACUGAGGAGCAAAGGACAGCAAUGCACGUCUAAGCCCCUAGGUAGGGAGAGCCAGGAUGUACAGUCAUUUUGCCCCCGCUAGUCACAGCCGCUCUUGCCGACACUUGAGGAAUGCAGGAUGUGCCUCAAAUAGAGCUUUACAAAUAUUCUCUGCUGCAGUCAUUUCAGCCGUUCCUGGUAUUAAUAUUAGCUCUCACUGACAACAGCUGGGGAUUUUAGUGACAGCGACUGCAGAAGAGUAUAAAUGUGGGUUGUUGUUUUUUUUUUUUCCCCUCUUUCAUGCCAGCUGAAAAGUGAACAUCAGACUCCCUAUACUGACUCAGAUGAAAGGUUGAACAAGCCCAGGCUCCUGUCUCUGGCAGUGGCCAGAGAAGCUUAAAGAAAGCAUAGAAGAACAAAACAAGCAUAAAAUAAUCCUUUCCCUACUCCAUCCUCCCCACAAAGUGAAUCUUUUCAGUUCUGGCACCUAUCCUGAUGAGAUAAGGAAGAAUAGCUUAAAGAAUCCAGUGGCAAGGAGGGGAGGGAGGUGCUCCCUUCAAAGUACUGGCAGGUUUUUGUUUUCUGAUCCAGUGCCAAAUGCUACAGUGGUACUUGCCAAAUGCCCUUGACAUGGUGCUUGUCCGAGGGCUUUACAGCAUUACACCAUGCUGUCUGUGCUGUGCUGCUUCUGCUGAAGUCUGUGGGAUUCCUCUUGUGCUGAAACUACUAAUUGUGAAAACCCAGCUUGUUUGGGCAUUAGUGUGCAUCUCUGGAGCACGAAGAACAGGAGAUCCCUGCCCAUGCUGUUAGCGGGACAAGCAGCUGGUAAGAGAUGUAUUUUUUCCUUGUCUGGCUGAGACUGGAGAACACGUAUGCUGCACAGGUGGGCAUCCUGGUUUACAGAGCUGUCACAGAGAGCUGGGAAUCGAGACCACGCUCUGAAAGGUAGGGCAGAUGCUGUGCUCAUCUAAGGACUCCUGGACAAUCCCACCUCAGGAUUAGGUCUGCACAAAAUGAUGGAGGCACAAGUGUGAUUCCUGAGGGGAAAAAACACACCAACUUUUUAAGCUCUUAAUUUUAAAAGCGACACAGUCUGGAAGCAUCAGCAUUUGUUCUGUCUCAUUAAACCUCAAGCCUGAGUUCCCAGAACAGUUUUUCCAGAGGAAAGCGUCCAUAGGCAGGUGUUUCUUGCCAGCUGAUCUGGACCUUCAGCAGUUCCUAGCUCCGAGCAAGCUUCCUCAGCAGAGGGACGCGCCGCAGCACCGCUAAGCUUGCAAACGCCGUUCGCUACUUCAAAGAAGUUAAAAGUACCAAACACACCAGCAGACCUUGCCAGCUCCAUAAGCCAAACAAACUGCAGUUUAAGGAGGUCAGAAAGAACUCAGACACACCUGGAAAUACUCAUAAAGCUCUCGAGCCUAAUCACUGUUGCUCAAGGUGUCCAGGAGCUCUGCAAACAUUUGAACAACGUGUGUGAGCCAGACAGGUGUGGCUUCAGCAGCUCCGAUGGCCAAAGGAACCCAGGAGGCCAGGAGCACUCGCCCAUUUCUUAAUUCGUUUGUGCCAGGAUCAGCUCAGACACCAUCCUGCUCUGCAGGCAGGUGACCGCUGCUUGUGCUGUGGCUCUACUCCUCCCCAUCCUGUGCACCCUGCCCGCUGUUGGGAACAGCACCUUCCAGCCCACAUUCUCUAGCCUGAUCUCCCUUGGCCAUAGGACACCUGUAAAAGACGUUAAUUUUGGAGAAAGAUGGGGCGCAGCCGUCCUGGAGAAUGAGAUGCUUUUAAAGCAUCUUUAAGUGACUGAGGCUUGCAACGCUCCAAAUAGUUGGCUGUUGUUAUGUAGGCAUAUAUGUCUCUGCGAAUGUUUCCCGUUGUUGGUUUUACUUCCCAGCUGGGCAUUCAGGCCGGGUGUUACCUCAGUUUCUUUCGGUGUGAGUCAGCACCACAGUUUUGAGAGAUGAUGGCUACAUCUACUGAAAAUGGAGGCUUGAAACUUUCACAGAAGAACAGCGGAAAUCAAAAUAUUGUGAUGGGACUAACAAUUAUGUGCACAGAAACUGGUAACGAAAGCAGAAACAGAGGUAGGGUUUCUUAGCUGUGGGGAUAACACGGCCCAGAGGUCCUCUGGGGACUGUCUGCAGGAAUCAGCAUGAUUCGGGUGCGUCAUUUAGGGGGAAAAGCAGGAAGCAAGCUGAAUCAAAAAUAAUAACAAUAAUGCUAGAACCCAUCAUGGUACGCUCCGGCUGGAUCUCUUUUGCUACGAGAAAGCAAUGUUUAGAGACACUAAUGCUAUUGUACUCGUUAAUUCCGAGGUGUUUUCUAUAGAUAUUUCUUGAUAGCUGCUGUCCCAGGGGGAAAGACAAUAGCUAUUGUAUUUGCUUAAGACAGUGCUCCAGAAUUUCAGCAGCUGGGGUGAAAAUAGGAGCACGGAGACUGAACACAAGUAACGUCCUGUUGCAGCAGAAGGGUGGGAUGCACAGGGGGUCACUGCACUCCGUUAAUUCGAAGGAUAAUUAACCAUGAAGCUUUGAACUCUUACUUAAAUGGCUAAUGUCCUAAGGAUGCUCAGAAAUGGAGCGUGGUUGCCACUGUUGUGCUGUGGCUGGCUGCCUGGCCCAGGGGAACCUGCUUUCGGGGGGCAUCUGCACCAGCCAGCGCUGCUUCUGCGAGCCUGCUCGAAAAGAGUUUCCCUUCCUCCUGAGAAAUGCUGACGAGAUUGUAAUUGUUUCGGUGAUUCUGACGCGGAGCCUGUUCAAAAACCCAGCUGCAGAGCAGUGGUAUUAUAAAUACCGUGCAGUUAUUGUUCUUAGUAGUGUCAUUUUCAGCAUUACUAACAGCCCGUGCAGACCGUGCUGUGCGUCGCUCGGUGCUUCUCUGAAGUGAUGUUCUCAGGGCAAGGUUUUCUCGCUCCCCCGAUGCUGUAACGCACCACACUUUUUCCAGUGCAGAGGCAGCGUCCCGUGCUCGCUCUGUACUGGCAUUUUCAGGAAAGAACAUUUCCCGUUCUUGGCUGAAAUAAUUCAUUUUCUGUGGGAGCUGCGUGCUUUUGGUGUGUUAGUGGCAGAACAUCAGACUAGAACCAGGUUCUCUACUUAACUGGCUCCAGAAGAGCGGCUAUGAUCACUAACCACAUAUUUUUUAACAACUUGUAGACUGUGGGGAAGUUGAACAACACCUUAGCAAAUAAGUUAUUUUACAUUUAAGACUCGUGCUUUUCCAGCCGGUCCUCUGUGCUGCCACAUGCUGAAACUGGACCUACUGGUGUGGAGUGGGGCAUGGUGCUCACAGCUGCAGGACCCCGCCUGACUUUUGGUGCUGUUUGCUGUUACCAUACCUGAAAUGAGAUGAUGCUCAUCACAACUGUGAGUGAACCUCGAUCCGAUGUCCUUCGGAGUAAGGCAAGGAUCAGUGUUUGUGUUAUUCUGAUCCUGAUGGGCCUGUUUUAUUCUGUUUGUCUAGAGUAAGGAUAACUUUCAUGUUGAUUUUUGGUAAUUCUGUGCUGGGCAGCAGUUUUUCACAGCAGUGGCUCCUGACGGUGAGGCUGGCCCAGCUGGUGAGGUGUGAGCUGUGCGUACUGCGGGGGGAUCUGAAGGGAAUAAACUGCAAGAUCUGCACGGGCUGCAUGGGCUCCAGCCUCCUGGGACUGUCCUGCAGCGACAGAGGGUUGGAGAGCAUCACUGGAGAGCUUGGUCCUGUUAUCAGUGCUGCUGAAAGAGGUGAUAAAGCAUCUCGGAGGAGCUGCCUGGGGCAGAGAAAAGGCAGAAUGGGCAUGGUGGCUAUGUCAGGACUAGGAGGGAGAGGGCGAGGCAAUGCAGUGCCGGCGUGGAUGGGAUACGAGUGAGCAGGGCUUAAGGAGCCUUGGUUUGGCUGCCGGUCCUCCCAAGUGCAGCUUGGCUACAAAAUGGUGCACCUUUGGCAGCUAGGAGCUGUGAUUUCUUCCUUAAGCUGGUAUAUUCCAUGCAACAGAAACUCUGUUAACUCCUUUAGUGACAGUUUGUAGCGCACAUCCUGGCUGUUUAAUUGGAUUUAUCAUGGCUAUUGGGAGCAUAAAUGUGUUUACAGAUUUGUUGUGAAAGCUUUUUAGUCUGUUUUUCUCAUAGCAAGUCAACUUCCAUGUGGUGCAAUUAUGUUCAAGAUGUUCCCUGUAGCACUGGAAUAAUGUCAGAUUAUAUUGUGUGUGCAUAUUGUUCUUCAAAAGGAUUUCAUCCGAGGCACAAUGCGCCGUGUCAGAAGAAGGGAGUCUUGGUUUUUAUUAAGAGAGGCGUGCUAAGCUCAAAACACAGGAAAUUCUGUCAAAUCCUCUCAUCUUAUUAGAGAGAAAUGCUUGUCUCUGUCUACUGAAACGUGAAACUUUUCCCCAUUAACUCCCCUCCUGCAACAUCUAGCUCUGCCAGAACUCAGUCCAUCCAUCUACACUUUUCCCCGCUUGUAGUGCAGCCCAGUGCAACCUUUUCAGCGUUGGAAGUUUGCAGCAAACGGUGAGACGUUUCAGAGAGGAGUCGGGGCGAAGAAAAGAGGACUUUCAUUUGGUUUGAAAGGUUUUGUAGCUCUUGUUUGGUUCAUCACCCCGUGUAGUUCAGCCUGGAAACUUCCCGUGUGCUUGAUGUGGUCGUGCUCAGAAGGACUCUGAAGAAGCCAAAGUUUGUGAUUCCCUAAUAACGUCGUGGUGGAGAGCAGUAAAGCAGUGGCUGUAACAACUGCUCUGUGCUGUAGGUGCAGAAGGAAAUGGGGCGUGCUGUCCGUGGGGCUGGAUGGGGCAGUGCCACCCAGGGCUGUCCCUGGUCCCCAGCACCAAACGCGGCUGGAGGAAGCUUUCUAGCCUGAGAAAGAGCUGAGGCACUUCUGUAGGAAAUAAGAAGCUGUUCUCUGCUGCUCGUUCCUCGAUCCGGUGGCUGAACCCAUUCCUGGCCUCGUGUGGCUGCUGGAGGCUCUGAGGUCCCGCAGGGCUCGCUAGGUGGGGUGGGAGCAGGACCCGGCGUCAGCCCCUGGUGCCCCAGCUUUGCCUAUCACGUCUCUGUCACCAGAGCUGUCUGAGGAGUGUGCUCCACCUCAUAAAAAGGCGGCUGAAGCAUCUCAGCAAGGAGAAAGCAGGCAGGUGGAGGAGAGCAGGCUCCCAUGAGCAAAAUCACCACCUGCCAGCACUCCUCUGGGGACAGCCUCACAUGGCUGGAGCCCAGCGGGUACCAGCAGGAGCAAGACACAGUAAAAGUUCACGUUGGCUUCUCACAGGGGUGGUAGUAAGAGGAUGUGGAGCUGUGUGGCUGCUGCAGAGGGGACGUUUUGGUCCUGGACCCACAGUUGGAUGUCAGGGGCUCCACCAAGCAGUGUUGCACCAAGGAUGAAGCUGGCCCCUAAUGCUCGUUCUUGAAGUGUUGUGUUGUGUUUUUUUUUCCACUUAGGUAACAAUGCGAUUUCCUCUCUGAUGACAGUUCAGAUAUUAAAUGUCACAUCUGCCUAAUACUUUCAUUCUUAACUACAACAAGCUUUCCCAAUGCUUCUAAAGCAGACAUUUGUGGUACGUUUCCCAGCUGAACGAUACUCAGAAACCAAAAUUUGUUCUGUAACCCGUUGUUGUUGUUGUUGUUAGUAGUGAGUCUUGUACGGGGAUUACUCAGAGAAGCAGCACAACAAUUCUCCCUAACGUGGGAAAAGUCAGGGUUUUCAGAUGCCACCAUUUUGAGCCUGUAACCUCUAUUUCAGUAGCAGGUUUUCUUGUUCAAAGUUGCACUGAAGAACAAUUUCCAGGGACUUUCCUCUCUUCUCUGUCCACAAGGAUGCAGCUACCUGCCCUUCUGUCUUAAGCGCUAAAGACAUGAGGGAGCAGGAUAAAGGACACAAGCAGAUGAGAGCUACAUGGGAAGGAAAAUCCAUAUUGCAAUUGUUUGAUAAAAAUGCAAGGGAUCGCUGGCAAUCGUGUUUUUGGUGGCCCUAUGCAGAUUCACAUCGGCUGUGAAUCUGGGCCAAGAAACUGAGAGUACAGCUGUGACCACGUAUGCACAAGCUUCAGCUGAUCUUUCUCAUUGGUUUAGUAUAUCUAAAUCUGCAGGUGUACUUUGCCAACUGAAAACUUUGGCCUUGAUUUAUUUCUUUUUUAAAGUCUGAAGGUUUGUACAAGUAUGUAAGAGUGUACCCAAGAAUGCAGAAACCUUUGCGUGUGUGCUUAAUCAGGUAGAUAUUUGCCAGGCUUUCUAGAGCAGUUUAAUGUACUUUCAGAAGAGGGAAGAAAAGAAAAAAAAAAAAAAAAAAAAAAGCAUCUUUAAAAAGCACAAAAUAUACUCUGUGUACUCUAUGGAAGCUCAGGGUCCAGGUCAUUUUACAGAAUUCAAGUUUUUGCUAUGCUUCAAUCCAGUUAAAAAGCCCGAAAGAUGAGCCAUUUUAAAGUACUUCACAAGACCCAUGAGUCAUGCAAAAUCCUAUCACAUUUUUCCCUCUGCUGGAAAUCACAGAAGUUGUGAAUGGUAAACGAGCUAUUAAAUCAUAGAUAAAGAAUGCUGCAGGAUGGGUUGGUUAAAAAAAAAAAAAAAAAAAAAAAAACAUAUAUAUAUAAUUAAAUAAUAAUUUAAAAAAGAAAAAACAACAA